rnacentral:rRNA from 1 species
GACGAACGCUGGCGGCGUGCUUAACACAUGCAAGUCGAACGGAAAGGCCCUGCUUUUGUGGGGUGCUCGAGUGGCGAACGGGUGAAUAACACGUGAGUAACCUGCCCUUGACUUUGGGAUAACUUCAGGAAACUGGGGCUAAUACCGGAUAGGAGCUCCUGCUGCAUGGUGGGGGUUGGAAAGUUUCGGCGGUUGGGGAUGGACUCGCGGCUUAUCAGCUUGUUGGUGGGGUAGUGGCUUACCAAGGCUUUGACGGGUAGCCGGCCUGAGAGGGUGACCGGCCACAUUGGGACUGAGAUACGGCCCAGACUCCUACGGGAGGCAGCAGUGGGGAAUAUUGCACAAUGGGCGGAAGCCUGAUGCAGCAACGCCGCGUGCGGGAUGACGGCCUUCGGGUUGUAAACCGCUUUCGCCUGUGACGAAGCGUGAGUGACGGUAAUGGGUAAAGAAGCACCGGCUAACUACGUGCCAGCAGCCGCGGUGAUACGUAGGGUGCGAGCGUUGUCCGGAUUUAUUGGGCGUAAAGGGCUCGUAGGUGGUUGAUCGCGUCGGAAGUGUAAUCUUGGGGCUUAACCCUGAGCGUGCUUUCGAUACGGGUUGACUUGAGGAAAGGUAGGGGAGAAUGGAAUUCCUGGUGGAGCGGUGGAAUGCGCAGAUAUCAGGAGGAACACCAGUGGCGAAGGCGGUUCUCUGGGCCUUUCCUGACGCUGAGGGGCGAAAGCGUGGGGAGCGAACAGGCUUAGAUACCCUGGUAGUCCACGCUGUAAACGGUGGGUACUAGGUGUGGGGUCCAUUCCACGGGUUCCGUGCCGUAGCUAACGCUUUAAGUACCCCGCCUGGGGAGUACGGCCGCAAGGCUAAAACUCAAAGGAAUUGACGGGGCCCCGCACAAGCGGCGGAGCAUGCGGAUUAAUUCGAUGCAACGCGUAGAACCUUACCUGGGUUUGACAUGGAUCGGGAGUGCUCAGAGAUGGGUGUGCCUCUUUUGGGGUCGGUUCACAGGUGGUGCAUGGCUGUCGUCAGCUCGUGUCGUGGGAUGUUGGGUUAAGUCCCGCAACGAGCGCAACCCUUGUUCACUGUUGCCAGCACGUUAUGGUGGGGACUCAGUGGAGACCGCCGGGGUCAACUCGGAGGAAGGUGGGGAUGACGUCAAGUCAUCAUGCCCCUUAUGUCCAGGGCUUCACGCAUGCUACAAUGGCUGGUACAGAGAGUGGCGAGCCCGUGAGGGUGAGCGAAUCUCGGAAAGCCGGUCUCAGUUCGGAUUGGGGUCUGCAACUCGACCUCAUGAAGUCGGAGUCGCUAGUAAUCGCAGAUCAGCAACGCUGCGGUGAAUACGUUCCCGGG